rnacentral:lncRNA from 1 species
UUACGAUAUUCGUAGUGAACUCUUAAUAGUGAAUAUUAUGUGUUGAUAGUAUUGUAAACCCUGCUAUGUGCUUAAGUUGUAUGCUUGCAUGAUUAUGAUUAUGAAAUUGUGAUGAAUUAACAAAGCAUGAUGAAGCUAUUGAAUCCCAAAUCUUGAAAGAACCCUAAUUCGCUUGAUAUAUUAUAUAAUGAGAAUGAUGAUGCCUUAGUAUGAAAGAAGGCUUGAUAAAUUAUAUAAUGAGAAUGAUGAUGCCUUAGUGUAAAAGAAGGCUUGAUGAAUUAGGGGAUCGGGUGCCACGUUCCGGUACCAGGAUAGAAUGAAUAUGAGGAUCGGGUGCCACGUUCCGGUACCAGGAUAGAAUGAAUAUGAGGAUCGGAGUGUCACGUUCCGACACCAGGAUAGAAUAUGGAUCGGGUGCCACGUUCCGGUACCAGGAUAGAAUAUGAGGAUCGGAGUGUCACGUUCCGACACCAGGAUAGAAAAUGGAUCGGGUGCCACGUUCCGGUACCAGGAUAGAAUGAGGAUCGGAGUGCCACGUUCCGGCACCAGGAUAGAAAUAGAGGAUCGGAGUGUCACGUACCGACACAAGAGGAAGAAAGAUAAUGAAUCUUGAAAGAUAAUAAAUAUACUCAAUCUAAUGAACUUAAUUCCCAAAUGAGUAUGGUAUUGAGGCUUGAGUCCUCAUGUGUGAACUCGGUUGUAGUUAUUGAUGAAUUCAUGUUGUUAUUGCUACAUGUUGAGUAUUGUAGUUGAUUUACAUUAUUAUUGAUAUAUACUGUUCCCUAUUUUGAGUUGGCCGAUGAUAUCUACUCAGUACGUGUGGUUGUACUGACCCCCUACUUUCAUGUUUUCCUCUUUGUUAUUUGUGUAAUGCAGCAAACGUUCCGUCAACUUCAACUCAACAGUAGAUCUAGCCAGUCUUCACUUCAUCGGAAAAUUCAGGGUGAGCUAAUGCGUCUAGCUUGGACUGGGUCUUCUUCUUCAAGUCUUGAUGCCUUGAACUUCCGGCAUGGACUGGCUUUUUAGUUAUUUUGUUCUUAGACAUUCCUAGUUAAGUAAUUUGAGAUAGAUGUUCUUGUGAUGAUGACUUCCAGAUUUUGGGGAUAAUAAUAAUAGUAUUGAAUUGUUUUUAUUAAUGAGUUUAAGUCUUCCGCAUUAUUUUCUGUUGAUAUAUCUUGAAAUGUUAAGGUUUAGAUGGGUUGGUUCGCUCACAUAGGAGGGUAAAUGUGGGUGCCAGUCGCGUCCCUGAUUUGGGUCGUGACAAACUUGGUAUCAGAGCAUUAGGUUCAUUGGUCUCAUCACACAAGAACAGGUCUAGUAGAGUCUUAAGGAACGGUAGGGGGACGCCUUUACUUUUCCUUGAGAGGCUAUAAGACUUUAGGAAAAUUUCACUCUUUCAUUCUUCUUUCGUGCUACUACUUGAGUCCAAUUGGUAUCUGGGCGAUACGAAUUGGUAUCUGACCAUCUUCACUCUAUUUCGCAGAUGGUUAGAACUAGAGCAACGACCGCACCAGCAGCAACAACGGAAAGACAAGAAACGACUGAGCCAGCCACUGGGGCUGUAGCUCGAGGAAGAGCAACGGCAAGAGGCCGUGGGAGAGGUCGUGGGAGGAUGUCCUCUAGAGGAAGAGGACAAGCACCUAGCCCAUCUGAUACUAGGGCGGUGACUCCUCCACCGACCGAGGAGGUGAUAAGAGAGGGGGAGGAAUGGGAGAAUGAACAAGGGCAGAAUGAGGAAAUGCCACCCCAACCUACCCCAGAGAUGAUCAACCAGGUACUUGCUUAUCUUAGUGGGUUAUCCGAUCAGGGUCAGGCACCUCCAGUGGUUUCUGCACCAACACCUCCGGUUUCAGAGGUACGACAUGCGGCUACUAUGGCUCCCCGCAUGGAUGCAUCAUUGGGAAUAGGCACAUUUCCACGUCUGACUACUGGGCCUAUUAUGACAAAUGAUCAGCAUGAACUUUUCAGUAAGUUCUUGAAAUUGAAACCUCCAGUCUUUAAGGGCGCAGAAUCAGAGGAUGCCUACGAUUUUCUAGUUGAUUGUCAUGAGCUACUACACAAGAUGGGUAUAGUAGAACGGUUUGGCGUUGAGUUCGUGAGCUAUCAGUUUCAAGGGAACGCCAAAACGUGGUGGCGGUCACAUGUUGAGUGUCAACCAACAGAGGCACCACCUAUGACUUGGGAAUCAUUCUCUACCCUGUUUAUGGAGAAGUAUAUCCCAAGGACUUUGAGAGAUAGAAAAAGGGACGAGUUCUUGAGUCUAGAGCAAGGGAGGAUGACAGUUAACGCGUAUGAGGCUAAAUUUCGCGCACUAUCCAGAUACGCCACCCAACUUUGUUUCAGUCCACAAGAACGGAUUCGCCGUUUUGUGAAGGGGUUGAGGUCAGAGUUGCGGAUUUCAGCCUUACAGGUAGCGGCUACGGCAACAUCCUUCUAAGAGGUGGUAGACUUUGUGAUAGAGGUGGAAGGAGUGAAGCCAGACGACUUCACCACGACAUUGACAUCGAAAAGGUUUCGAAGGGGAGGCAAGUUUAAUGGUUCUCACUCUAGAGGACAGAGCUCCGGAGGUUACUCAAGUCGACCAAUUUAGUCUUCACUACAGACUGUAGUUGGGGGUCCACCUCAGAACGGUCAACACUACUCCGAGAGACCUAUGCAUGAACCCCGAGGGUGUUAUGGAUGUGGGGAGGUUGGACACAUCAAGAGGUAUUGUCCAAACCAGAGUUACAGAACCCCACUAGCUAGAGGUAGAGGUGGUCAUGGUAGAGGCCGCUUUUCUGGAGGACGUGGUGGUCGAGGUAAUGGUGGUCAUCACAACGGCAGAGGUGAUGGGCAAAAUGGAGCCACUACUACGCAACAUGGUAGGGGCAAUGGACAGACAAACGAUAGGGCCCAUUGUUACGCUUUCCCUAGGAGAUCUGAAGCGGAGGCGUCUGAUGCUGUUAUCACAGGUAAUCUUUUGGUUUGUGAUUGCAUGGCAUCUGUAUUAUUUGACCCUGGAUCCACGUUUUCAUAUGUAUCUUCAUCAUUUGCUAAUGGUCUAAAAUUGCAUUCUGAAUUACUUGACAUGCCUAUUCGUGUUUCUACACCGGUGGGUGAGUCUGUGGUAGUUGAAAAGGUACAUAGGUCUUGUUUGGUGAACUUUGUGGGGAGCAACACUUAUGUAGAUUUGGUUAUUUUAGAAAUGGGUGACUUUGAUGUAAUUCUGGGUAUGACUUGGCUUUCUCCAAAUUUUGCGAUCUUGGAUUGUAAUGCUAAAACUGUGACGUUAGCCAAGCCUGGGACAGAUCCGUUAGUGUGGGAGGGUGACUACACUUCCAAUCCGGUGCGUAUCAUCUCAUUUCUUCGUGCUAAGAAAAUGGUUAGUAAAGGGUGUUUAGCUUUCUUGGCCCAUCUCAAGGAUGACACUACUUAAGUACCUUCGAUUGAGUCGGUUUCGGUAGUCCGCGAGUUUUUGGAGGUGUUCCCUGCAGAUCUUCCUGGUAUGCCACCAGAUAGGGACAUUGACUUCUGUAUCGAUCUUGAACCGGGCACACGCCCCAUUUCUAUACCCGUAUAGAAUGGCUCCCGCGGAGUUAAGAGAGUUAAAGGCUCAACUUCAAGAGUUGUUGAGCAAGGGCUUCAUUAGACCAAGUGCAUCUCCUUGGGGUGCUCCGGUUUUGUUUGUGAAGAAGAAGGAUGGGAGUUUUCGGAUGUGCAUAGACUACCGACAGUUGAACAAGGUAACUAUUAAGAACAAGUAUCCUCUUCCUCGCAUUGAUGACUUAUUCGAUCAAUUACAAGGUGCUUGUGUCUUCUCUAAGAUUGACUUGAGAUCCGGUUAUCAUCAAUUGAAAAUACGGGCAACGGAUGUGCCAAAGACUGCUUUUCGAACGAGGUAUGGACAUUACGAAUUUGUGGUGAUGUCUUUUGGUCUUACGAACGCCCCUGCUGCGUUCAUGAGCUUGAUGAACGGGAUAUUUAAGCCGUAUUUGGACCUCUUUGUGAUCGUAUUUAUAGAUGAUAUACUGGUAUAUUCUAAAAGUAAGAAGGAACAUGAGGAGCAUUUGAGGGUUGUGUUGGAAAUGUUGAGGGAGAAAAAGCUUUACGCCAAGUUCUCUAAGUGUGAGUUUUGGCUAGAUGCAGUGUCGUUCUUGGGGCAUGUGGUUUCGAAGAAUGGGGUGAUGGUAGAUCCUUCUAAGAUUGAGACAGUGAAGAAUUGGGUAAGACCCACUAAUGUGUCAGAAAUACGGAGUUUUGUUGGGUUAGCUAGCUACUACCGCCGCUUUGUCAAAUGAUUCUCUUCUAUUGCUUCCCAAUUGACGAACUUGACUAAGCAGAAUGUUCCAUUUGUAUGGUCAGAUGAAUGUGAGGAAAGCUUUCAGAAGCUUAAGACUUUGUUGACUACCGCACCUAUCCUCACCUUGCCGGUAGAGGGUAAGAACUUCAUUGUUUAUUGUGAUGCAUCCUAUUCGGGUUUGGGUGCAGUGCUAAUGCAAGAGAAGAACGUGAUUGCUUAUGCCUCAAGACAAUUAAAAGUGCAUGAACGUAACUAUCCAACUCAUGACUUGGAAUUGGCCGCGGUAGUGUUUGCAUUGAAGCAAUGGAGACACUAUUUAUAUGGGGUUAAGUGUGAGGUCUACACGGAUCAUCGUAGCCUUCAGUAUGUCUUUACUCAGAAAGAUUUGAACUUGAGGCAAAGGAGAUGGAUGGAACUACUGAAGGACUACGACCUCACUAUUUUGUAUCAUCCGGGGAAGGCAAAUGUUGUGGCAGAUGCCUUGAGUAGAAAGGCGGGAAGCAUGGGAAGUCUAGCUCAUUUGCAAGCCUCUAGACGCCCAUUGGCUAGAGAGGUUCAGACUCUGGCUAACGACUUGAUGAGGUUGGAAAUAAAUGAGAAGGGAGGAUUGUUGGCUAGUGUGGAGUCAAGAUCUUCUUUUCUUGACAAGAUUAAGGGAAAACAGUUUGAUGAUGAGAAACUAAGGCGAAUCCGAGAUAAAGUGUUGCGAGGAGAGGCUAAAGAAGCAACAAUCGACGAGGAAGGUGUGUUGAGGAUUAAGGGAAGGGUAUGUGUACCCCGCAUUGAUGAUUUGAUCAACACUAUUCUGGCAGAAGCUCAUAGUUCAAGGUAUUCUAUACAUCCGGGUGCAACCAAGAUGUAUCGCGACCUAAAACAACACUUUUGGUGGAGUAGAAUGAAGCGCAAUAUUGUUGACUUUAUUGCCAAGUGUCCAAACUGUCAACAAGUGAAAUAUGAACACCAAAGGCCCGGAGGAACACUUCAAAGAAUGCCCAUUCCUGAAUGGAAGUGGGAGAGAAUUGCAAUGGACUUUGUGGUUGGUCUUCCAAAGACACUGGGGAAGUUUGAUUCAAUUUGGGUAAUUGUGGACAGAUUGACUAAGUCUGCUCAUUUCAUUCCGGUCAAGGUGACUCACAAUGCAGAGAAGUUAGCAAAAAUCUACAUCUCAGAAAUCGUUCGAUUGCAUGGGGUUCCACUAUCCAUUAUAUCAGAUAGAGGUACGCAGUUUACUUCUAUGUUUUGGAAAACAUUGCAUGCAGAAUUGGGUACUAGGUUGGACCUUAGUACCGCGUUCCAUCCUCAGACCGAUGGUCAGUCUGAGCGAACGAUUCAAGUGUUGGAGGAUAUGCUUCGCGCAUGCGUGAUAGAGUUUGGUGGCCAUUGGGAUAGCUUCUUACCUUUGGCAGAGUUUUCGUACAAUAAUAGCUAUCACUCCAGUAUUGAUAUGGCUCCAUUUGAAGCAUUGUAUGGGAGGAGGUGUAGAUCUCCCAUUGGUUGGUUUGAUGCAUUCGAGGUUAGACCUUGGGGUACCGAUCUCUUGAGGGAUUCGUUAGAAAAGGUGAAGGGCAUUCAAGAAAAGCUUCUAGCGGCGCAAAGUAGACAAAAGGAGUAUGCAGACCGGAAGGUUAGAGACUUGGAGUUCAUGGAAGGUGAACAAGUCUUGUUGAAGGUUUCACCCAUGAAAGGGGUGAUGCGGUUUGGCAAAAGAGGUAAGCUAAGUCCAAGGUAUAUUGGACCAUUUGAGGUACUAAAGCGAAUAGGGGAGGUGGCUUAUGAAUUAGCCUUGCCCCCAGGGCUGUCCGAAGUGCAUCCGGUAUUUCAUGUGUCCAUGUUGAAAAGAUACCAUGGAGAUGGAAACUACAUUAUCCGUUAGGACUCAGUGUUGUUGGAUGAGAACUUGACUUAUGAAGAGGAACCAGUUGCUAUAUUAGAUAGAGAAGUUCGCAAGUUGAGAUCGAGAGAGAUUGCAUCCAUCAAAGUUCAAUGGAAGAAUCGACCGGUUGAAGAGGCUACUUGGGAGAAGGAGGCGGAUAUACAAGAAAAAUACCCACAUCUGUUUACAGAUUCAGGUACUCCUUUUCGCCAUUGUUUUUCUUCUUUUGAUCAUUCGGGGACGAACGAUGGGUAAAUUGGUAUCUAUUGUAACGACCUGUUUAGUCGUUUUGAGCAACAGAUUUUAUUUCUGGAAAAACUGGCUGGGACGACGGAUGUAACGACGGACCGUCAUAGUCACGACGGCCCGUCGAGGAGGUGUCGUCCCAUGACACUUAGAAUUUUGAAAUUGGGUACUCAAAAUCGACUCUCUGUAAAUUGUGACGGACCUGCAGGACGUGCCGUCACAUCCACGACGAACCGUCGUGAGUUUUCGUUGCAAAACACUUCAACUUUUGAGAAUUUGAUACAAGAAACGAGUUUCUGACCGUCAUGACGGAGGAACAGGACGGAUCGUCACAACUGUGACGGGCCGUCACAGGCUACGUGAGUUCGAGGGAGCUGCGACGACCUGUGUGACGGACCGUCGCAGGCACGACGGCCCGCACAGGUUGCGCAGUCCCAGGCAAAAUAGGAUUCCUCUACACGUUUUAGGGGUCGUUUUGGACUAUUCUUUCCUUAAUUAUAAAGAUUGAGGGUUAAUAUUAAUAGGUCUAAUUACUUGGGGGUUAAAAGAGGUAACCUUAAGUUAAUUAGUGGGUUUUAUUGUCCUCCUUUACACUUAAUUAUACUUUUAAUUAGGGUAAAAAGAAGGAGGGUUUGAAUAAAACAAAACAAAAGAAAAGAACAGAAAGAGAGGAGAAAUGAACGAGUAGAGAGAGAGAGAAACGAAGAGGAUAGCAAGGAUUUUGAGAAGAUAGCUUGUUGAUUCAAUUCUUCGGUGGAGGUAGGUUAUGGUUUAUGUUACGAUAUUCGUAGUGAACUCUUAAUAGUGAAUAUUAUGUGUUGAUAGUAUUGUAAACCCUGCUAUGUGCUUAAGUUGUAUGCUUGCAUGAUUAUGAUUAUGAAAUUGUGAUGAAUUAACAAAGCAUGAUGAAGCUAUUGAAUCCCAAAUCUUGAAAGAACCCUAAUUCGCUUGAUAUAUUAUAUAAUGAGAAUGAUGAUGCCUUAGUAUGAAAGAAGGCUUGAUAAAUUAUAUAAUGAGAAUGAUGAUGCCUUAGUGUAAAAGAAGGCUUGAUGAAUUAGGGGAUCGGGUGCCACGUUCCAGUACCAGGAUAGAAUGAAUAUGAGGAUCGGGUGCCACGUUCCGGUACCAGGAUAGAAUGAAUAUGAGGAUCGGAGUGUCACGUUCCGACACCAGGAUAGAAUAUGGAUCGGGUGCCACGUUUCGGUACCAGGAUAGAAUAUAAGGAUCGGAGUGUCACGUUCCGACACCAGGAUAGAAUAUGGAUCGGGUGCCACGUUCCGGUACCAGGAUAGAAUGAGGAUCGGAGUGCCACGUUCCGGCACCAGGAUAGAAAUAGAGGAUCGGAGUGUCACGUACCGACACAAGAGGAAGAAAGAUAAUGAAUUUUGAAAGAUAAUGAAUAUACUCAAUCUAAUGAACUUAAUUCCCAAAUGAGUAUGGUAUUGAGGCUUGAGUCCUCAUGUGUGAACUCGGUUGU